rnacentral:lncRNA from 1 species
AGUCCUUGAGGCCUGCUGCACUUGGCAGAAGGGCGUGGGAAGGGAGAAGGCCGUGAAGGGCAGCUCUGGCAUCUGCCUGGGCCUGUGCAGACCACGCCAAGCACCUGUGGCAGGGUGUGAUCCCCCCCUUGGAGCACGAGUCUGAGCCAGAUCAUCUCUGUCCAGCUGAGAGCCCCAAAGCUCUUUCAUGGAGAGCUGUGAAUUCAAAGGCCUUUACGUGCACACUAAUGCCAUCUUCCCUAUCUGGUGUGUUUUAACACGUGGCAAGUUUGCCUUUUGCUUGCUGGAAGCUGCUGUGCUCCAGGGCCAGCCCCGAGCUGGGCCGUGUGGGCCAGGCACCGUGCAGAGUCCUUCCCUGAGCACUUGGGCGCUCUUGGUGUGUCCCAGGUUGUCUUAUACACUUGGGCCAGUGGAUUCCUUCCAACCUGGGGCACUUUGGGUGGGGUGGGGGGGGCCCCAGGGCACGUGGCAGCGUUUCCAAGGGCCCUUGGUGACACAGCACGGUCACCAUGGAACGCAGUGGGACGGGGUGUCCAAGCAACCCUUUGUGACACGCGCUCACAAAGGUGCUGUUGGCAACGCGGCCACGCCAGAGCGCUCGGUGCUCGCGACGGGACAGGACGGGAGAGAGCGGUGCUGUGCGGGAGCCCUCGCACAGCCAGCUCGUUCGUUGCUGACCCGGAGCCUUUCCGAGGCGUUACUCCUGCGGCCAGACCACCGGCCUUGGUGCCUCGGAGCUUUCCGAGGCAUCUCCCAUCCCUGCGGCCGGUGCCCUCGUAGCCAGGCCGUGGGACUUGGUGGCCUCAGUCGUUCACGAGGAGCGUCCUGUCAUUGUGGCAGGACCCCUCGGGACCUGAGAGCAGGAAGAGCAGGACUUGCUGUCCUGCAGCUCUCCUGAGGCUUCUGUGUCGCAGGUGCCUUGAAGGCACGACUGCGGCACUGCUUGACUUGCCCGAGGCAUCUGUCUGGAAGGUGCCCUCGAGGCCAAACAGCAGGAUGGCGGGCAGAGUGUUCAGCCUGUGCAAGGUGCUUCGGGGCAAAAAGAAGAANNNNNNNNNNNNNNN